rnacentral:rRNA from 1 species
GAGUAACGCGUGGAGAACCUGCCGUAUACUGGGGGAUAACACUUAGAAAUAGGUGCUAAUACCGCAUAAGCGCACAGCUUCGCAUGAAGCAGUGUGAAAAACUCCGGUGGUAUACGAUGGAUCCGCGUCUGAUUAGCUUGUUGGCGGGGUAAAGGCCCACCAAGGCGACGAUCAGUAGCCGGCCUGAGAGGGUGAACGGCCACAUUGGGACUGAGACACGGCCCAAACUCCUACGGGAGGCAGCAGUGGGGAAUAUUGCACAAUGGGGGAAACCCUGAUGCAGCGACGCCGCGUGAGCGAAGAAGUAUUUCGGUACGUAAAGCUCUAUCAGCAGGGAAGAAAAUGACGGUACCUGACUAAGAAGCCCCGGCUAACUACGUGCCAGCAGCCGCGGUAAUACGUAGGGGGCAAGCGUUAUCCGGAUUUACUGGGUGUAAAGGGAGCGUAGACGGCAGCGCAAGUCUGGAGUGAAAUCCCAUGGCUUAACCAUGGAACUGCUUUGGAAACUGUGCAGCUGGAGUGCAGGAGAGGUAAGCGGAAUUCCUAGUGUAGCGGUGAAAUGCGUAGAUAUUAGGAGGAACACCAGUGGCGAAGGCGGCUUACUGGACUGUAACUGACGUUGAGGCUCGAAAGCGUGGGGAGCAAAC